rnacentral:lncRNA from 1 species
UCUUAUGAUAUGCUGUGUAUGUUACUGCCUUGUCAGGUGUAAGUCUGAAAACUGAGUAAAUCAAAAUAUAAAGAUUUUAGUUGUUCAUUUAAGCUGUCAUUGAUUUGUUGGUACUGCCUUAAGAUAUAGCUUUUAUAAUUUUCUUAUUUGCCUAAUACUUUUGUGAUGCUUCCAAGGUAAUUUGGAAUUCAUAUUUAACACUUCCUUUUUGUAGUCAAUGGAUGCAGGUGGUUUUGAAGGACUGCAUUUCAAAGAGAAGCUGGUAAAGAAUCAAUAUCAUUUUAAAUGUCUUUUGAGGUUCUGUGACUUACGGGUUAAGCUUCAUAUUGGACAGUAGCGCAGUAAGUUUGCAGAAAGAAGAUUGGUACGUAACAAGUCUUUCAGGCCUUGUGUACAUUGUAAAUGGAAAGUAUUUUUCUGUCAGUAUAAGAGGAAGACUUUUAUUCCACUAGAAAACGUUGGGGAAGACUUACAGAGAGGAAUUGUAGCACAUCAUCUCUUACAUCAGUUGGAGAAUGAUUUCAGAAGCAGGAUAACAAAGGAGGAGAAUACAGAAACGAGAGAAGAUAUAAGGAGUGUAAGCCUAAAUUUUUCAUUUUUGUAUAUCAAAUUUGAGCAUCUCAGCAGCUGAUGCUUUUCAUCU